AUUGAACGCUGGCGGCAGGCCUAACACAUGCAAGUCGAACGAGCGGCGGACGGGUGAGUAAUGUAUGGGAAUCUGCCUGAUGGAGGGGGAUAACUACUGGAAACGGUAGCUAAUACCGCAUACUAUCAGAUGAGCCCAGAUGGGAUUAGCUAGUAGGUGGGGUAAUGGCUCACCUAGGCGACGAUCCCUAGCUGGUCUGAGAGGAUGACCAGCCACACUGGGACUGAGACACGGGCCAGACUCCUACGGGAGGCAGCAGUGGGGAAUAGUGCACAAUGGGAGCAAGACUGAUGCAGCCAUGCCGCGUGUAUGAAGAAGGCCAUAGGGUUGUAAAGUACUUUCAGCGGGGAGGCGUUACCCGCAGAAGAAGCACCGGCUAACUCCGUGCCAGCAGCCGCGGUAAUAC
rnacentral:rRNA from 1 species